AUUCCAGCACCAAUAGCGUAUAUUAAAGUUGUUGCAGUUAAAAAGCUCGUAGUUGGAUUUCCGGCGUGAGGGAUCAGUCUGACUUCUAGUCAGUACUUGGUCCUCUCAUGCCGUCCUUGAAUGGUGCAUCCUGGCAUUAAGCUGUCGGGGUGAGAGCCGUUCAUCGUUUACUGUGAGAAAAUUAGAGUGUUCAAAGCAGGCUUAUGCCGUUGAAUAUAUUAGCAUGGAAUAAUAAGAUAGGACUUUGGUACUAUUUUGUUGGUUUGAGAACCAAGGUAAUGAUCAAUAGGGACAGUUGGGGGUAUUCGUAUUCAGUUGUCGGAGGUGAAAUUCUUAGAUUUCCGGAAGACGAACUACUGCGAAAGCAUUUACCAAGGAUGUUUUCAUCA
rnacentral:rRNA from 1 species